UACAGAGGGUGCGAGCGUUGUCCGGAAUCACUGGGCGUAAAGGGCGCGUAGGCGGCCCGGUAAGGUUGCGGUGAAAGCCCGGGGCUCAACCCCGGGUCGGCCGUGGCAACUGCUGGGCUGGAGCACAGUAGAGGCGGGUGGAAUUCCGGGUGUAGCGGUGGAAUGCGUAGAGAUCCGGAAGAACACCGGUGGCGAAGGCGGUCUGCUGGGCAGUAGCUGACGCUGAGGCGCGACAGCGUGGGGAGCAAACAGG
rnacentral:rRNA from 1 species